GUUCUUGUGACACUAGUUUGCAUUGUACUUGAGUUGGCUUUGCAAUAAUGAAUAUAAAUCAAAUGGAAAAUCACCACAGGGAAAAUAUUUCCUUUUAUAGGUAAGACAAUUUACUGUUUGUAUAUCAGAGAAGAAGCUAGUCACCUAGAGCUGCUUCAGUGUUCUACAUCUUGUGCAUUUAUCUACCUGUGAUUUUUGUCGUGAUGAAAGAGAUGCUUAAUAACCUGAUCUUUGUGUAAUAACAAAAAAGAAAUUGGUGGGGGGCAGCGUCAAUCAAUAGAGCAGCAGUUCUUAUGCAGACCUCUUGAAAAUUGCUGCGCAUCUUGGGGGACAUCUUAAUACACAUGUGUACAAAUGAAUGUUCAUACAUAACUCAUAUUUUAAUAACUGCAGACUUGCCUUUCAGAUGUGAUGGAUGAAGAAAAAAAAUGUUGUUGUUGCUGUUGUUGUUGUUAUUUAAAAUGUACAUACUGCCCUUCAUCCUAAGAUCACAGGGCCAUUUACAGCAUAAAAAUACAAAAUGAAAGCACAAAAUACAUAUGAAAACCAGAGGCCUCAAAGGCCUUUUUAGCCUGCUCAGUAAUCGUGCCUAGUCAAACACAGCCCUCAUCUGAUUCAUCAGAAAACAUAAAUCAAAUGCAAGGCUAAGCUCAGGUAUCUUUGAAUGAUCCACAAUCUUCCAUGGAUCACCUGAGUGUAACUUAUAGAUCCCCAGUGGUUCAUAGGUCACAAUUUGAGGUCCUAGAAAUCUGAGGUAGUAGAAAGCUGAGAAUAGCUUAUUAUGUUGUAAGAAACAGCAUAUGCUGAAGAAAUAUUGUAGCCCCAUGUGGUGAAAAAAACUUUUUUGAGGGCAACUCAGGUUAUUCCAUUCUCUCAUGAUAUACUGUUAUUUUUGCUGCCUCCUGGAAGGACUUCUGCGCACAAUGCACUGGGCCACAAAGCAUUCCUUUGUAAUAAAGCAUUUCCUCGGUGGUGAAGGUUCCUUGUUCCAACUCCAGCAGUUUCUGGAUAUCAGAUAAAGAAGUAAUAACCUACAGUUGAGCAAAGGUUGGUUUUUCAUGGAAAUUAGUUCUAUCUGAAAAGUGAUUGUUUCUUCAUUAAAAAGUAAGAACUUUGCCUAACGUUCUGCAAAUUCCCUUUUUAGCCACUUCCAGGUUGGUUUGGGGUGGACUGAAGCCCCACCAAAAUCAAUAGAAACGGAAAGAUUAUCUGAAAUAGUUACAGGCAGGGACUGCUGCUUAUUGACCCUGUGGUUGUGUUUUUCUGCUCUCUCUUAAGCUCACAGCCUUCUCCACCGCUGGUGCUUUCUGAAAUGCUGUGGGAGCAGCAUAAUGUGACACGGAACCACUCUUGCGCCAUUGUGGGAAGCAAAGGCAAUGGGAAGUGGCCGAGGGGGCCUUUGCCCCACUGUGAGCGGGGCAGGAUCCUUGUUUUAAAGUUAAAAGGGGGGAUGGGACCCACAGCAAAAUAAAGAACACCCUGGGUAUAUGACAG